GAUGAACGCUGGCGGCGUGCCUAAUACAUGCAAGUCGAGCGAACAGACGAGGAGCUUGCUCCUCUGACGUUAGCGGCGGACGGGUGAGUAACACGUGGAUAACCUACCUAUAAGACUGGGAUAACUUCGGGAAACCGGAGCUAAUACCGGAUAAUAUAUUGAACCGCAUGGUUCAAUAGUGAAAGACGGUUUUGCUGUCACUUAUAGAUGGAUCCGCGCCGCAUUAGCUAGUUGGUAAGGUAACGGCUUACCAAGGCAACGAUGCGUAGCCGACCGGAGAGGGUGAUCGGCCACACUGGAGCUUGGACACGGUCCAGACUCCUACGGGAGGCAGCAGUAGGGAAUCUUCGGCAGUGGGCGAAAGCCUGGCGGAGCAACGCCGCGUGAGUGAUGAAGGUCUUCGGAUCGUAAAACUCUGUUAUGAGGGAAGAACAAAUGUGUAAGUAACUAUGCACGUCUUGACGGUACCUAAUCAGAAAGCCACGGCUAACUACGUG
rnacentral:rRNA from 1 species